GACGAACGCUGGCGGCGUGCCUAAUACAUGCAAGUUGAGCGCUGAAGGUUGGUACUUGUACCAACUGGAUGAGCAGCGAACGGGUGAGUAACGCUUGGGGAAUCUGCCUUUGAGCGGGGGACAACAUUUGGAAACGAAUGCUAAUACCGCAUAACAACUUUAACCACAAGUUUUAAGUUUGAAAGAUGCAAUUGCAUCACUCAAAGAUGAUCCCGCGUUGUAUUAGCUAGUUGGUGAGGUAAAGGCUCACCAAGGCGAUGAUACAUAGCCGACCUGAGAGGGUGAUCGGCCACAUUGGGACUGAGACACAGACCAAACUCCUACGGGAGGCAGCAGUAGGGAAGCUUCGGCAAUGGACGAAAGUCUGACCGAGCAACACCGCGGGAGUGAAGAAGGAUUUCGGAUCGUAAAACUCUGUUGGUAGAGAAGAACGUUGGUGAGAGUGGAAAGCUCAUCAAGUGACGGUAACUAACCAGAAAGGGACGGCUAACUACGUG
rnacentral:rRNA from 1 species